GCCGAAAUAUGUUGGUUGGGAGAGCGUUAGUCUGAUGAUCUAAAGGUCCCUGGUUCGAUUCCUGGUUUCGGCA